AUGCCUUACACAUGCAAGUCGAACGGCAGCAUGAUCUAGCUUGCUAGAUUGAUGGCGAGUGGCGAACGGGUGAGUAAUACAUCGGAACGUGCCCUGUAGUGGGGGAUAACUAGUCGAAAGAUUAGCUAAUACCGCAUACGACCUGAGGGUGAAAGUGGGGGACCGCAAGGCCUCAUGCUAUAGGAGCGGCCGAUGUCUGAUUAGCUAGUUGGUGGGGUAAAGGCCCACCAAGGCGACGAUCAGUAGCUGGUCUGAGAGGACGAUCAGCCACACUGGGACUGAGACACGGCCCAGACUCCUACGGGAGGCAGCAGUGGGGAAUUUUGGACAAUGGGCGAAAGCCUGAUCCAGCAAUGCCGCGUGUGUGAAGAAGGCCUUCGGGUUGUAAAGCACUUUUGUCCGGAAAGAAAUGGCUCUGGUUAAUACCUGGGGUCGAUGACGGUACCGGAAGAAUAAGGACCGGCUAACUACGUGCCAGCAGCCGCGGUAAUACGUAGGGUCCAAGCGUUAAUCGGAAUUACUGGGCGUAAAGCGUGCGCAGGCGGUUGUGCAAGACCGAUGUGAAAUCCCCGAGCUUAACUUGGGAAUUGCAUUGGUGACUGCACGGCUAGAGUGUGUCAGAGGGGGGUAGAAUUCC
rnacentral:rRNA from 1 species